GACCAGACGAGUGUUCUUGCACCUCCCUCAUUUUCUCUCUCUAGAAAUUCUCUCUUUGAGUAGGAAUCACCGAUUUGCGCCUUUUUUUGGCCGUUCUUUGCGCUAGCUGGUUUGCGGACUUUAGAGCGGCUGCGAGACGGUGGAAAGGACUCGCAGGGGAGGUAUUUUUGCAACUCCAACUCACAGGGAAGCUGAGUUGAAGUCUAGUGAGCUAGUUUGAGAUGGUUUAAAGCAGCAAUUGAGGAGUGGUUUUGCUGUAAUUCUUCACCCCAAAAUCAGACUUAAAGCCUUAGAGGUUUUUAAAUUAAUUUGAGUUGAAUUUGUGACCUUAGGGGCUGGUUUAGAAGGUGUUUCAACCUGGGCGAGGUUGCGAUUGACCUUCGGAUUAUCUACGGCUAAUAUGUGAGAGCUUUUGGGGGCUAAACUUGAGCAGGAUUGAAAUGCCGUUGAGCUGAAUUUCAGGACACAUUUGAGCUGGUUUAACCUGAGCAUUGGGAGCCUUUACCUGAAGAGAAGUGUAAACCUAAGUAGCUUGAAUACCCGAAUCGCUUAUCAGCGUGAACUCGACAAGAGGCGUCGUAUAUCGAUCCUUCCAUAGCGGGAAAGGAAAGGGUUCCUGGCGAGAGGUCCGCGGCUAGCUAGAGCCGUUUUGACGUUAUGUAGCUUGUAGCUUAUUCCCGUGAUGUAUAUUAAAAUUAUGUAAAAUUUUACUUUGUUCUUAUCUAUUGUAAUAAGGUUUUGGGUUGUAUAAGUUAGACUUUUAAGUUUUUCUCUGAUUACCUUGU